CGCUAUCACUCCUACGGGAGGCAGCAGUAGGGAAUCUUGCACAAUGGGCGCAAGCCUGAUGGAGCAACACCGCGUGAGUGAAGAAGGGUUUCGGCUCGUAAAGCUCUGUUGUUAAAGAAGAACACGUAUGAGAGUAACUGUUCAUACGUUGACGGUAUUUAACCAGAAAGUCACGGCUAACUACGUGCCAGCAGCCGCGGUAAUACGUAGGUGGCAAGCGUUAUCCGGAUUUAUUGGGCGUAAAGAGAGUGCAGGCGGUUUUCUAAGUCUGAUGUGAAAGCCUUCGGCUUAACCGGAGAAGUGCAUCGGAAACUGGAUAACUUGAGUGCAGAAGAGGGUAGUGGAACUCCAUGUGUAGCGGUGGAAUGCGUAGAUAUAUGGAAGAACACCAGUGGCGAAGGCGGCUACCUGGUCUGCAACUGACGCUGAGACUCGAAAGCAUGGGUAGCGAACAGGAUUAGAUACCCUGGUAG
rnacentral:rRNA from 1 species